AAGGAUAAGAUUUUUAAAUGGGGAAAAGAACAAGAUGAUGCUUUUAACUUGUUGAAAGAAAAGUUAUGUUCUGCUCCAUUGUUACAAUUGCCUGAUUUUUCUAAAUCUUUUGAAAUUGAAUGUGAUGCUUCGGGCAAAGGAAUAGGUGUUGUUUUGAUGCAAGAUUCUAAACCUAUUGCCUACUUUAGUGAAAAGUUAAGUGGAGCCACAUUGAACUAUUCCACUUAUGACAAAGAGCUAUAUGCUUUGGUAAGGGCUUUAGCCACAUGGCAACAUUACUUGUGGCCAAGAGAGUUUGUUUGUUGAUGAUGAAGAAGACGGAGAACGUGGGUGGAUGAGCCGAUUCGUUUGAGUAUGGACUGUCGAUGUUAUCCCUGUGGAGUUUUUUCCAUUUCCUGAGGGGUGGAAAUUUACACAUAAGUGCAAUUUCAUGGAUGGCGUGCGAGUGUCCCCCACCUGCUGGAUUGGGCUCGAAAGUUGGCGACCCACUCGACUUAUAAUGAGCGUAAAUGACGAGCUUUGUCUAAGGAUAGGUGGGAGGCAAAACACCACGGCAUUGGGGAGUUUUCUGAAGCUGGAUCACGCCCUCUGGGAGAGGGAGAAAGACCACCGGCCUCAGGACCAAGGGAUGACAAUAAUAGCACUAAGCAGAAAAGGCCUUUGUAGGAUGACAAUGAUUGUAGCAAGACGAGUCCAGUCUGGAGGCUUAGAGAGGGCGUAUCAGCUAAACCUGCAGUACCCGAGGUCUCUAGCUUUAGAAAAAUGGUCCCUCCUUUGCUGCCAUCUUUCUUUUCCAUUGAAGGUACUUCGAGGAACGAGGGAUCCUUGCCGUCGACUUCUUCUCCCGUCGAUGGUACUUCGAGGAGCGUUCAAAGCCAGGGGCCACGCAUGUUGGAUGACCGUAUGCCGACUGGGAGUGGUUCUACCGGGAUAGAUGGAGUCAGACCAGUAGAUGUACGUUCAACUCUCGAGGAAGCUCAGCGGUUGUACUCAGAGGCUUUCAACAAGCUCAAAUCUGAGUUGCUUCGCUGUGAGGGCAGAUUGCGAAAAGCCAUAGAUGGGAGAAAUACCUCGGGCUUCUUUGUGAUGAAAGGGAAGAUGAAUUGACACACUUACGGUAUGAGGCGAGUUGCAGUCUGAACAACGAAAGCUACCUCGAGGAACAGCUGCAGAAAAAGAUGGAGGACCUAGAACGCCUUAGGAACGAUGUUGGUCAGGCCAAGUUCGAACUUGAUAGUCUAAAGGCUCGGGUGGACACCCAGAUAUCGGCUAAGAAAGAUGCUUUGGCCAAGGCUUCCACCCUUGAAGUGAAACUUCAGAACGCUCACGAGAAUAACUUGGUCCGAUCGGACAUGAUUCCAAGACUCGAGUCCGAGCUCUUGAAGAUGAAGGUCGAAGUUGUGGAUGCCCAGGUUGAAGUCGGAAUGAUUCGAGCUAAGGCCGAUAAGAAGGUGGUUGCCUAUUUGAAGGAAACUACCGAUGCUCGUGCUGAGCUAAGGGGGGCUCUCGACCGGGUGAGUAGAAAAAGGGAGUACGCGAGGUGUAAAUCUCAGAUGGAAACCCUUGAGGAAAUUCAUGCCAGGGGAAUCGAUCUCUCGGAAGAGAUAAAGCAGGCGAAGGCGGAAGAAUAUGAUGUUAAGUUCCUUCUAUCUGA